UACGUAGGGUGCAAGCGUUGCCCGGAUUCAUUGGGCGUAAAGCGCGCGCAGGCGGCCCACCAAGUCCCGCGUGAAAUCGCCCGGCUCAACCGGGCGGGGUCGCGGGAGACUGGGGGCUCGAGCGAGGGAGGGGCAGUGGAAUUCCCGGUGUAGUGGUGGAAUGCGUAGAUAUCGGGAGGAACACCAGUGGCGAAGGCGGCUGCCUGGACCUCUGGCUGACGCUGAGGCGCGAAAGCGUGGGGAGCAAACAGGG
rnacentral:rRNA from 1 species